GGAAUAUUGGACAAUGGGCGCAAGCCUGAUCCAGCAACGCCGCGUGAGGGAUGAAGGCCUUCGGGUCGUAAACCUCUGUCAGGAGGGAAGAACGGUAUUCGGUCGAACGGGCCGCGUGCCUGACGGUACCUCCAAAGGAAGCACCGGCUAACUCCGUGCCAGCAGCCGCGGUAAUACGGAGGGUGCAAGCGUUGUUCGGAAUCAUUGGGCGUAAAGAGCAUGUAGGCGGCUUGGCAAGUCGGCUGUGAAAGCCCGGGGCCCAACCCCGGAAUUGCAGUUGAUACUGUCUCGCUAGAGUCCCGGAGAGGAAGGCAGAAUUCCCGGUGUAGGGGUGAAAUCCGUAGAUAUCGGGAGGAAUGCCAGCGGCGAAGGCGGCCUUCUGGACGGUGACUGACGCUGAGAUGCGAAAGCGUGGGGAGCAAA
rnacentral:rRNA from 1 species